AUGAAAAUAUUAGCUUGGAAUUGCCGGGGGCUUGGGAACGCCCCGGCAAUUCGUGCUUUGCUGGACGUCCAGCGAAGAUGUAACCCCGAUGUGAUGUUUUUGUCGGAAACUCACCUCGAAUCUUUUCCGGCGGAGUGCUUGCGUAGAAGAGUCAAGAUGGAUCAAAAGCUAGUCUGUCCAGGGGACGGUAGAAAGGGAGGCCUUAUUUUAUUCUGGAAUAAUAAUGUUAAAGUU
rnacentral:rRNA from 1 species